rnacentral:rRNA from 1 species
UACGAAGGGGGCUAGCGUUGCUCGGAAUCACUGGGCGUAAAGGGCGCGUAGGCGGCCGAUCAAGUCAGAGGUGAAAGCCCAGGGCUUAACCCUGGAAUUGCCUUUGAUACUGUUCGGCUAGAGACCGGAAGAGGUUAGUGGAACUGCGAGUGUAGAGGUGAAAUUCGUAGAUAUUCGGAAGAACACCAGUGGCGAAGGCGGCUCACUGGUCCGGUACUGACGCUGAGGUGCGAAAGCGUGGGGAGCAAACAGG